GGCAGAGUGUCUGAGUGGUUAAAGAGAUAGCCUAGAAAGCUAUUGGGUUCGCCCGCGCAGGUUCGAGUCCUGUCUCUGUCG
rnacentral:tRNA from 1 species